AAAAGAUGUCUUAACAAUGUCAGUAGAAUGCUUUAUGGGAAUGCUGUGGCUUUCUGGUAGGAAAUCAUGUGACCUCCUCGGCCAAGGUUUUGUUAUGGUGCCAGGAGGGAGAGAACGAGAGAGGGAGUGAAGGGGGAAACUUGGAAUGCGAUGCCAGCAAAGGGUUUUUAUUCUUUCUUUUUGGGCUUUCUUUCAUUCUUGUGUUUGCUGAGAAAAUGGCGGACGGUGUGGAGCUGAAAUGAACCCGACUUGCCAAUGGAGCUGGGCACAAUAACACAACUCAACUUUAGUAUUUUUAAAUCAAAUUUUUUGCAUGGCACCCAUGUCUCAUAGCUUUUUGAUUCCUGAUAAAUCCUGCUUCCUAUCUGUCUGUCUCCGGCUGGGUACAAAAGAGAGGUCUGAACAAUCCAAAUCAAAUAGAGAUGAUGAAUGUCAAAUGAGAGGAAGAGAGUGAGAAAUGACCAUGGGUGACUACUUACCCUUAAAGGCACACGAUCAACAAGGGACUCAGGAGAGGCAAAGGUCAAGAACCACGUGUCCUCCGAAACACCGUACAGCUGGCGAUGAAGUCAGCGUGCAUGCACCCAGCCGCCACAAGGUUGCUGGAGCGCAAUGGGACAAGGACAUCUCAGCUGUUCAAACCCUCCCCUAAUCCGGACUACGCUGGGCCAAUUGUGCACCUCCUCAUGGGCCUCCCGGUCACGGCUGGCUGCGACACAGCACGGGAUCGAACGUGCAUCUGUAGUGACGCCUCUAGCACUGUGAUGCAGUACCUUAGUCUGCUGCGCCACUCGGGAGGCCCCCUACUUUUAGACUUUUACUCAAGAAGUAUUUUACUGGGUGACUUUCACUUUUACGUGAGUCAUUUUUUAUUAAGGUAUCUUUACUUUUACUCAAGUAUGACAAUUGGGUACUUUUUCCACCACUGGAAAUGAUUCAAUUGAAAUAAAUUAAUUAGGCCCUCAUCUAUGAAUUUCACAUGACUAGAAAUACAGGUAUGCAUCUGUUGGUCACAGCUACCUUAAAAAAAAAAAGUAGGGACGUCGAUCAGA
rnacentral:lncRNA from 1 species